GCCACAUAGGCCACAUUUCUGCCCUUGAAAGAUUCUUUUAAGUCUUUGGAAGAGAAAGAGAGUGUGUAACCUUUCCUGAUCAACACAUGGGAAGCGCACCCCCACCGCCAGCCCCGCGCCACCAGGUAGCCUUUGUAUCAUUUGUAUCAUCCCUUUACUUUCUUCUUAAACUUAACCACAAUCUGUACAGUGAACUCUAUGUUAAGAAGCUCAGACUGCCUGGGCUUGAAUCUUGCCUUGGCCACCUGCUAGCUGUGUAGCCUCAGGUCAAUUAAAGGCCAAUGCUGAGCCCUUCAAUCAAAAAGAAAGAAUUCCAUCUCCUCUCCUGGCUUCACGGCAACUACUGAAAACCGCGUCCCCUGGGGGACAUGAAGAAAUCAUCUAAUAGCUGUGUGUUUUAUUUCGUUAUUUUUUUAAAAUAGCAAUAUCAUUUUUAAUA